UACGAAGGGGGCUAGCGUUGUUCGGAAUUACUGGGCGUAAAGCGCACGUAGGCGGAUAUUUAAGUCAGGGGUGAAAUCCCGGGGCUCAACCCCGGAACUGCCUUUGAUACUGGGUAUCUCGAGUCCGAGAGAGGUGAGUGGAAUUCCGAGUGUAGAGGUGAAAUUCGUAGAUAUUCGGAGGAACACCAGUGGCGAAGGCGGCUCACUGGCCCGGUACUGACGCUGAGGCACGAAAGCGUGGGGAGCAAACAGG
rnacentral:rRNA from 1 species